rnacentral:tRNA from 1 species
AUUUAUAUAGUUUAAAUUAAAACCUUACAUUUUCAUUGUAAUAAUAAAAUUUGUUAUUUUUAUAAAUU